CAGCAGCCACGGGAAUACGAAGGGGGCUAGCGUUGUUCGGAUUUACUGGGCGUAAAGCGCACGUAGGCGGAUCGAUCAGUCAGGGGUGAAAUCCCAGAGCUCAACUCUGGAACUGCCUUUGAUACUGUCGAUCUGGAGUAUGGAAGAGGUGAGUGGAAUUCCGAGUGUAGAGGUGAAAUUCGUAGAUAUUCGGAGGAACACCAGUGGCGAAGGCGGCUCACUGGUCCAUUACUGACGCUGAGGUGCGAAAGCGUGGGAAGCAAACAGGAUUAGAUACCCCGGUAGUCCCUGUCUCUUAUAC
rnacentral:rRNA from 1 species